rnacentral:rRNA from 1 species
GACGAACGCUGGCGGCGUGCUUAACACAUGCAAGUCGAACGGAAAGGCCUCUUUCGGGGGGUACUCGAGUGGCGAACGGGUGAGUAACACGUGAGUAACCUGCCCUUGACUUUGGGAUAACUUCAGGAAACUGGGGCUAAUACCGGAUAGGAGCUCCUGCUGCAUGGUGGGGGUUGGAAAGUUUCGGCGGUUGGGGAUGGACUCGCGGCUUAUCAGCUUGUUGGUGGGGUAGUGGCUUACCAAGGCUUUGACGGGUAGCCGGCCUGAGAGGGUGACCGGCCACCUUGGGACUGAGAGACGGCCCAGACUCCUACGGGAGGCAGCAGUGGGGAAUAUUGCACAAUGGGUGGAAGCCUGAUGCAGCAACGCCGUGUGCGGGAUGACGGCCUUCGGGUUGUAAACCGCUUUCGCUCAUGACGAAGCUUUGUGUGACGGUAGUGGGUAAAGAAGCACCGGCUAACUACGUG